UACGUAGGGUGCGAGCGUUGUCCGGAAUUAUUGGGCGUAAAGAGCUCGUAGGCGGUGUGUCACGUCGGCCGUGAAAACCUGGGGCUUAACUCUGGGCGUGCGGUCGAUACGGGCAUCACUAGAGUUCGGCAGGGGAGACUGGAAUCCUGGUGUAGCGGUGAAAUGCGCAGAUAUCAGGAGGAACACCGAUGGCGAAGGCAGGUCUCUGGGCCGUAACUGACGCUGAGGAGCGAAAGCGUGGGGAGCGAACAGG
rnacentral:rRNA from 1 species